GUCUCUAGUAAAGACAUUUGAUUCCUUAGAAAAUCAUGGGACGUAGACCAAUUUCACAGUUCUAAUCUUAAGUUGACCAUAUCUCAUUUUUCUUUAAAUUAAUUUUUUUUAAGAGUUAUUUCAUUUUGUUAUUGUGAUUGUUAUUUCAUUUGAAUCACUGUGAAAUAGACGGGAAGUAUCUUUCAUCAUUGUAUAGGUGUAUCCAUGCAAUUUUAGUCUUGGAAGAAGGAAGUAGAGUGGAAUGAUUGAAUUGGAUGAAUUGUUACAGGUGGAUUUGAAGCUAAAAGUG
rnacentral:misc_RNA from 1 species